rnacentral:tRNA from 2 species
UAUAUAUUAGUGUAUGAUGCACAAAAAAAUUUGAAUUUUUUAGAAAUAGUUUAAUUCUAUUAUUAUAA